AGUGAACGCUGGCGGUAGGCCUAACACAUGCAAGUCGAACGGCAGCACAGUAAGAGCUUGCUCUUACGGGUGGCGAGUGGCGGACGGGUGAGGAAUACAUCGGAAUCUACUUUUUCGUGGGGGAUAACGUAGGGAAACUUACGCUAAUACCGCAUACGACCUACGGGUGAAAGCAGGGGAGCUUCGGACCUUUGGCGAUUGAAUUAGCCGAUGUCGGAUUAGCUAGUUGGCGGGGUAAAGGCCCACCAAGGCAACGAUCCGUAGCUGGUCUGAGAGGAUGAUCCGCCACACUGGAACUGAGACACGGUCCAGACUCCUACGGGAGGCAGCAGUGGGGAAUAUUGGACAAUGGGCGCAAGCCUGAUCCAGCCAUACCGCGUGAGUGAAGAAGGCCUUCGGGUUGUAAAGCCCUUUUGUUGGGAAAGAAAAGCAGCAGGUUAAUCCCCCGCUGUUCUGACGGUACCCAAACAAUAAGCACCGGCUAACUUCGUG
rnacentral:rRNA from 1 species